CACAGAGCGGCCCUGCUGAGCUCAGCCCGUGCAACCGGGGCACCGACUUAAAGGGUUUGCGGGGGGGGUGGGGGCGAAGGGGAGGCGAGCUAUUGCCUCCGCAUUAGUUAGGAUCAAAGCAACGAGCUAGCGCAGGAGAGCCAGGAGGGGGAGAACUGGCCCCACAGAAAAAGCCACGCAGCCCAGUCUGAGGCCCUGCCCCUGCAAUCCCAGCUCUGCAGGUGCGCCCCAGCAAAUCAGGAGCCAUAGGUGCUGGAACUAGGGGUGCUGCUGCACCCCCUGGCGUGACGUGGUUUCCAUCAUACAGAGGGUUUACAGUUUGGUUCAGUGGCUCUCAGCACCCCCACUAUACAAAUUGUUCCAGCAUCUCUGUCAGGAGCCCCCUCCUCCGUCCCUCAGGAUCAAGUUGGAGAUAAUGGCUCCCUGCUUAUAGUGCCCGUGCUCCUCUCAUUUUCUUUUAUAUUCUUUGGUCUGCUUUAUAUUUUAAAAGCUAUAAAGGCAAGCGACCCCAGCAGAGUUCAUAGUAACUAAUAACACUUAGCUCUUUUAUAGCACUUUUCAUCCACUGUCUCCCAGCAUCUUACCGAGGGACACAAGUAUCAUUAUCCACAUUUGACAUAGGAGGAAACGGAGGCAAAGAGCAGUGAAGUGACUUGCCCCAGGUCAGAAGCAAGUCCGUGGUGAAGCCAAGAAUAGAAAGCAGGGUCCCAAAUGGAGGAGGCUCAGGCCAAGCCCAGGCACAGAACUUUGCCACCUCUGUAGGAGUGUGAGUGCAGCAGGUCUGCUGGAGGCAAGGGGACAUGUCGGUGCAUGCAGGAGAGGGCAUGGACACAGGCUAGGGCAGACCUGCAUCCCAUUACUUUUUCAUUCCUGAAAGGUCCUGAGUGUGUGCUGAGGCUUGAAAUCCUCCUCUACUACCCCCCAGCUUUUGAAUAACCACCUCUCUUCUCUCCCUGUACCAGUGUCUACACCAGUGCAGGCGUGAAUCUGCUUCUAGGUUUCCUGAUUCCGAGCCCCAGCACGGCCUGUCCAUUGCAUCACACUGAGGAUAAGGUAUAGGCUGGAUUCAUGAAGGUUGGAUCUAGAUCACAACCGUUCCCACACCCCAAAGUUCUUGGAUUUGGGGGAGUGAUUGUAAAUCAGUGAAAUGCAAAAACUAAACAAAUGUAAGUAGAGAAAGAUGAGGUACCGUUUUAAAGUCAUUGCAGUUUUAAUAAGGUAUUAAAUAGGUGUGCUAGGUGAGGGGAGCUGUUCAUUGAUAAUUGUUAAUAAAACACCACACAGUGCCAAAUUUAUAUAAGAAUAACAUGCUUCUGAGAAAACAUGUAUAGGCAAAUAUUUGUUUCUUAUAUCAGUUCUUAUAUCAUGUAUGUGAUCUUGACCUUGACACUGCACUGGCGCUGCUGUAGUGUAUCAGUGAAGAUACUACUACCCUGAUGGGAGAGCUUUUCCCAUCCGCGUAAUUAAUCCAGCUCCACGAGAGCUGAUACCUGUGUUGAUGGGAGAAGCCCUCCUGUCAACAUAGCAUUGUCUAGAUUGGGCGUUAGGUCAGUUAACUGCAUUGCUCGGGAAUGUGGAUUUUUCACACCCAAGCGACGUAAUUAUAUUGAUAUAAAUGUAUAGUGUAGACCUGGCCUCAGUCACUGCACUUGAUAAAGGGAGUGCUGCUUGUCCUAGCAGGCACGGUAACAACUUCAUUAACGUAAAUAUUUCUGAAAAGGCAGUGUACAUUUCACUCCACAUGAUUUUAGGCUCUAUUUGGCACAGUUUGAAGUCUUUGGUGCCAAAGAUCAUGUGUUCUGUUUUUCCACGUGCAUCCAGUGAAUGAUUGCCAUUGUAGCUCUGGGCUGUGGGUAUUCAUUUAUUAUCCAGUUACUUCUACCAUGGUAUAUGGAAAGGAUUUAGAGGCAAAUUUAACUUUUAACAAAAUAAUCUAGCUUGUUGCAUAUCCUGGAGGCAUAAUCUCUGUGAUCAUGCUUAACUUGGAGAUUUAUAGAAUUUUUAGGUUUGUUGGCAAUGAAAAGACUACAAUGACCAUUCUGCUGCAAAGCCAACACCUGGAAUCAUGAUCUUGCAGAAAUAGUUCUUGAGAGCCCAACUUCAGAUCUUCAUAAACUGAUUCCAGGAUAGACCACAAGCAUUAGAUGGACAGUGACAGAGACGGAGAAUGCUUUGAGGAUGACAUAUAAAUGCUGAAAGCACUGUCUUCUACAGGACCAGGAAGAAAAUUCUGAAUGUCGAGAGCCGCAGAGCAGGGUGAUGAAGAAAGUUCUUCACUGACAAAAGCAAAUCUAUUACUGAGUUGACCAGGAAGUCUUAUGAUUAAAACUUCUUUAAUAUGAUCCAACACCAGAAGAGAAUGCCAUGGUCCAGGGAGUGACGCGGGUCUCAGAGGUGGAGCAGAAGUGACGGUGGUGAGAUAGCACUAGAGGAAGGAUCACCGGCAACCAAGAGCUAAUUUCAGCACGGCCAGCAGGAGGUGCCAAGGUGGUGAGUCCCGCCCUGUCACAAGGGUUACUGAUCCAGGAGAGGACCUUCCCUCUUAUUCCAGGACUGCUUAGUUUGGUGAGGG